ACUGCUAAACUUGAAUUAUUAGGAAGUAACUAGAAUAUGUAGUGUAGCGGUGAAAUGCUUAGAGAUUACAUGGAAUACCAAUUGCGAAGGCAGGUUACUACUAAUGGAUUGACGCUGAUGGACGAAAGCGUGGGUAGCGAACAGGAUUAGAUACCCUGGUAGUCCACGCCGUAAACGAUGGAUACUAGCUGUUGGAAGCAAUUUCAGUGGCUAAGCGAAAGUGAUAAGUAUCCCACCUGGGGAGUACGUUCGCAAGAAUGAAACUCAAAGGAAUUGACGGGGGCCCGCACAAGCGGUGGAGCAUGUGGUUUAAUUCGAUGAUACGCGAGGAACCUUACCAAGGCUUAAAUGUAGUUUGACCGAUUUGGAAACAGAUCUUUCGCAAGACAAAUUACAAGGUGCUGCAUGGUUGUCGUCAGCUCGUGCCGUGAGGUGUCAGGUUAAGUCCUAUAACGAGCGCAACCCCUGUUGUUAGUUGCCAGCGAGUCAAGUCGGGAACUCUAACAAGACUGCCAGUGCAAACUGUGAGGAAGGUGGGGAUGACGUCAAAUCAUCACGGCCCUUACGCCUUGGGCUACACACGUGCUACAAUGGCCGGUACAGAGAGCAGCCACUGGGUGACCAGGAGCGAAUCUAUAAAACCGGUCACAGUUCGGAUCGGAGUCUGCAACUCGACUCC
rnacentral:rRNA from 1 species